rnacentral:rRNA from 1 species
UACAGAGACGUCGAGCGUUGUUCGGAUUCAUUGGGCGUAAAGGGUGCGUAGGCGGUGAGGUAAGUUGGAUGUGAAAUCCCAAGGCUUAACCUUGGAAGUGCAUCCAAACUGCCUUGCUAGAGGACUGGAAGGGAGACUGGAAUUCUCGGUGUAGCGGUGAAAUGCGUAGAUAUCGAGAGGAACACCUGUGGCGAAGGCGGGUCUCUGGACAGUUCCUGACGCUGAGGCACGAAAGCCAGGGAGCAAACGGG